UAAAUGAAAGGCAGGCAAUGCCAAACUAAAGUUCAAGUUAAUAAAUCCUCUCUCAAAAUACAAAGCUCUCUCAAAGACACAAACUAAGAAAAACAUAUGGAAAAAUCGAAAAUACAAUCAGAUAUCUUAGAUAGCAUGACAAAUCAAGAGGCAAAGGUUGAUAAAAGACAUGGAAUUUUGGCCCUCCUAACUACACACGUCAAUAGUGCAGCGUCAUUCUAUGGUACGAGGAGCGGACAAAAAAAAGUAAAAAAAUCCUAACAGUAGUGCGUUCAUUUACGAAAUACGUAAAGACACAGGUAUUCAGGAUCAUCAAUAGAAGUUUCGUUGAUACAUCGAAGAGUUCGAGUUAGCUAUGGUGAGCCUCCUUACUUCCGGAGGAUUUCAUUUACUUUUCAGUUUAGUUAAGAUGUCGUGGGUCUUGUCCCGACUUUUCUGUUUAUCAGUUAGAGGCUUCAUAAAUAGUCAAUAUAGUUGAGGAGUCUGUAUUAAUCAUUUAUUUUAUUAAAUGUAUCAAAGACUAAAGUUGUCUAUUUUAUGGCUAGUUGAAUAUAUUAUUCUUAUUAAAAUUUGUACAUUUGAUUUAAAACUUUGUAAA